rnacentral:rRNA from 1 species
AAAUUGAAGAGUUUGAUCAUGGCUCAGAUUGAACGCUGGCGGCAGGCCUAACACAUGCAAGUCGAACGGUAACAGGAAACAGCUUGCUGUUUCGAUGACGAGUGGCGGACGGGUGAGUAAUGUCUGGGAAACUGCCUGAUGGAGGGGGAUAACUACUGGAAACGGUAGCUAAUACCGCAUAACGUCGCAAGACCAAAGAGGGGGACCUUCGGGCCUCUUGCCAUCGGAUGUGCCCAGAUGGGAUUAGCUAGUAGGUGGGGUAACGGCUCACCUAGGCGACGAUCCCUAGCUGGUCUGAGAGGAUGACCAGCCACACUGGAACUGAGACACGGUCCAGACUCCUACGG